rnacentral:rRNA from 1 species
AGAGUUUGAUCAUGGCUCAGGACGAACGCUGGCGGCGUGCUUAAUACAUGCAAGUCAAGGAGAACGUUUUCUUCGGAAAACUAUUAAACUGGCGAACGGGUGAGUAACACGUAGGCAACCUGCCUUGGAGAUGGGGAUAACCUCGGGAAACCGGGACUAAUACCGAAUAAUGCAGCGGCUUCUUUGGAAGAUGUUGUUAAAGCGGGCUUCGGCUCGCACUUCAAGAUGGGCCUGCGUCCGAUUAGCUUGUUGGUAGGGUAACGGCUUACCAAGGCGAUGAUCGGUAGCUGGUCUGAGAGGAUGAUCAGCCACACUGGGAUUGAGAUACGGCCCAGACUCCUACGGGAGGCAGCAGUAGGGAAUUUUGCGCAAUGGACGAAAGUCUGACGCAGCAACGCCGCGUGAUCGAUGAAGCUUCUAGGAGUGUAAAGAUCUGUCGUGAGGGAAGAAAAAUCUGGAUGUAAAUAAUGUUCAGACUUGACGGUACCUUACAAGAAAGCACCGGCUAACUUCGUGCCAGCC